UCUUCAGUUGCUUUGAAAUACCUCUUGUAUGAUACUGUGAUUCUGAUAAGAAAUUUUCUGAACUACAUUUAUUCUUCUCUUUAAAUCAGUGAAAAAGCUUUCAGCGCCUCUGUUCGGAAUUUAUAGUUACUUAUUUGAAGUACCUCCUUGAAUAUUCUGUAUUUCUGAUAUAAAAUUUUAGAAGUGAAUUAUUCGAUAAUUUUAUUUUCAAAACUACAUAACCUUAUUUUAUUGUUAUUAUUUUUUUUUUUUUAAGUGUUUAAGUGAUAAAGUGAUUGCAAAUCUAAUGAUUUAUAAUAUGUCUGAAACGAAUGGAAACAAUUAAUUAAAAAGGACUAUCGGUUAUAAAAAAAAGAAGUUAUAGCAAUAAAACAAUGGAAUUAACUCUUCAAAAUAUCACAAGGAUCACAAGUUUCUAAAUCCACAUUGAACAGGUCAUUUCUACAGGGAAUGAGUCAUUUGCCAAGCCAAAACGAUUUACACGUGUACGAGAUUGAGUGCAAAACACGACACCUGUGCGUGAAUCAUCUGUGUUCAUUUUACCUGAGAAAUGGACCAAUGAACUCGUAAAACAAAAAGAAUAAAAAAAAAAAAAAAAAGAUAUAGUUCAAAACAAUCAAUGAAUCUGUCUGAUUAUUCUGGUGGAAAUACUCUAAUUAUGAUGUUGUCUCAAGGCGAAAUUCCAUUAGUUUGGAAGGGAUACGUAACAAAAAUGUCAAUUAUGGCAUUUGCAUUGGGCACAUAUUUUCUAUUUUUUCGUAAUCGUGAAUUUAAUUCAUUACAAAAUAUAUUUCGAAAAUCAAAAAAAAUUCAAACUAAAAAAAAUGAAUGUUUACAAGAAAAAAAAACAAGCAAAAAAUCAAUGAUCUAUAAUGGGGAAUUGUGUCCAAUAUGUUUGAAUGGUCCACAAUGUGGUGUGAGGGCAUAUUGUGGUCAUUUAUUGUGCGCUACGUGUUUGGAAAGUUAUUGUGAGGCCAGGGAGGUUUCAACCCCACCACCAUGUCCUCUUUGUAGGGCACCCUUGGACUCAGUGACCUUGGCUUGCGAACAGCAAGAAUCAACACUUUCAUUAUCAAAUUAUACAAAAGCUGAGAUAAAUCCCACAGAAAAGACACUUGCUUGGAUUCGUGAAUAUAAUCGUCAUCGGGGACAAAUUAUUCAAAAAAAUUACAAAUAUUCCAAAUCUUAUGUGAAACGCAUUAUUCUUUGUAUUGUUUUUUUAAUUGUUUUCACAAUUAUAACUAUCAUCGAAAGCAAAAUAUAGGAAUUAUCAUGACUGCAAUAACAUUCGUAACAUAUAUAUUUUAUUUCAAUAAUAUUGUAACACUUGGGGAUUUAGAAUAAAAAAAAAAAAAAAAAAAAAAACUUGAAAAUGAAAAUUUUUUAAUUAAAAAAAAGGAAACAUAAAAAUAUCGACAAAAAAUAAUUGUAAAAACAGCAAAUGUAUCAUUUUGUAA